UUUUUAAUUUUUUUUUUUUUUAUUGGUGGGGCUUUUUUUUUUUUAUAAAAAGGGCCGCAUUAUGACUGUGCGAAGGUAGCAUAAUUAGUUGCCUUUUAAUUGAGGGCUUGUUUGAAUGGUUUGACGGAGUAAAUCUGAAUAUUUGAGUUAUAUUUGAAAUUUAUGGGUAGGGUACAGAAUCCUACUAUAUUAAUUAGACGGAAAGACCCCGGGAUCUUGAUAUUUUGCCUGGGGCAGGUGUCAGUUUUUUAUUGGUAUUUUGUUCCUAAAUUUAGAUUGAUGGUUAAGUUACCCCGGGGAUAACAGUGUAAUAGUUAAGUAGAGAUCUUAUCGAGUUAACUGAUUGCCACCUCGAUGUUGACUUAAGUGUAGCUUAGGCGCAAUAGUUUAAGCUUUGGGUCUGUUCGACCUUAUGAACUUCCAUGAGUUGAGUUAAGACCGGCGUGAGCCAGGUCGGUUCUUAUCUAUUAAUGAAACUUAUUAGUACGAAAGGACCAUAAGUUUUUUUAUUAAGUAUGAAGCGUUAUGCCUUAGUUUUGCAAAAGCUAAUGAGAAGAAUUUUCAGGGCUUCCAUACUUUAUAUGUUUAACUAUGGCAACAGGAAGUGCUUGUUACAAUAAUUGCAUAAAAAUAUUAUGUUUUUACUGAGUAUGGUAUUGAUUUGGAUUAUUAGCAGUUAGUUUUUUAUUUAGAUGAGAGUCUUUUAAGAUUGUAAUUUAUAAAGGGGAUAGGACACAGUGCCAGCAUCUGCGGUUAUUCUGUUUUCUUUGCUUUCAAAUGGACUGUGCUUAAAUAUUACUAGGUAAGUUUGGGUGAAAUUUACUUAUGUUUUUAUUCAAUAUUUAGGUUUUGAUAAAUAGCUUUUUGUGACAGGGAUUAGAUACCCCAUUAAUUGGUUAUUAUAUUAGGUCUUAGUAUCAACUAAAAUAGUUUGGCAGCGAACGAAUCUUAUCGGGGGAAGGGGUGUAUUUAAAAGAGUAAAAAAAAAUAUUAAAUCGUUUUGGUGGUUAUUACC
rnacentral:rRNA from 1 species